GACCCUGUGGCCCAACGGAUAAGGCAUCUGACUACGAAUCAGGAGAUUCCAUGUUCGAAUCCUGGUAGGGUCG